GAUGAACGCUGGCUACAGGCUUAACACAUGCAAGUCGAGGGGAAACGACGGGGAAGCUUGCUUCCCCGGGCGUCGACCGGCGCACGGGUGAGUAACGCGUAUCCAACCUGCCUCUGACUGAGGGAUAACCCGUCGAAAGUCGGCCUAAUACCUCAUGGCAUCGUCUGCGGGCAUCCAACGACGAUUAAAGAUUUCAUCGGUCAGAGAUGGGGAUGCGUCUGAUUAGCUUGUUGGCGGGGUAACGGCCCACCAAGGCGACGAUCAGUAGGGGUUCUGAGAGGAAGGGCCCCCACAUGGGAACUGAGACACGGUCGAAAGUCAUACGGGAGGCAGCAGUGAGGAAGAUUGGUCAAGGGGCGAGAGCCUGAACCAGCCAAGUAGCGUGCAGGAUGACGGCCCUAUGGGUUGUAAACUGCUUUUAGGCGGGGAUAAAGUGAGGGACGUGUCCUUCAUUGCAGGUACCGCAUGAAUAAGGACCGGCUAAUUCCGUG
rnacentral:rRNA from 1 species